GAUGAAGAACGUAGCGAAAUGCGAUAAGUAAUGUGAAUUGCAGAAUUCAGUGAAUCAUCGAAUCUUUGAACGCACAUUGCGCCCUCUGGUAUUCCGGGGGGCAUGCCUGUUCGAGCGUCAAUAUAACCACUCAAGCUCUCGCUUGGUAUUGGGGUUCGCGGUUCCGCGGCCCCUAAAAUCAGUGGCGGUGCCUGUCGGCUCUACGCGUAGUAAUACUCCUCGCGUCUGGGUCCGGUAGGUCUACUUGCCAGCAACCCCCAAUUUUUACAGGUUGACCUCGGAUCAGGUAGGGAUACCCGCUGAACUUAAGCAUAUCAAUAAGCGGAGGA
rnacentral:misc_RNA from 1 species